rnacentral:snoRNA from 1 species
UACUUAAUAUGGGCAUUAAGGCUGAAAAACUCAAAAACCAUUGUGUUGUCAUCAGCUUCUUUCCUGUUUGUCACCAGGAAUGGAGUUAAAUAACAACACGACAUUA